UGGGGAAUAUUGGACAAUGGGCGAAAGCCUGAUCCAGCCAUGCCGCGUGUGUGAAGAAGGUCUUCGGAUUGUAAAGCACUUUAAGUUGGGAGGAAGGGCAGUAAGCGAAUACCUUGCUGUUUUGACGUUACUCGCAGAAUAAGCACCGGCUAACUCUGUGCCAGCAGCCGCGGUAAUACAGAGGGUGCGAGCGUUAAUCGGAUUUACUGGGCGUAAAGCGUGCGUAGGCGGCUAAUUGAGUCGGAUGUGAAAUCCCCGAGCUUAACUUGGGAAUUGCAUUCGAUACUGGUUAGCUAGAGUGUGGGAGAGGAUGGUAGAAUUCCAGGUGUAGCGGUGAAAUGCGUAGAGAUCUGGAAGAAUACCGAUGGCGAAGGCAGCCAUCUGGCCUAACACUGACGCUGAGGUACGAAAGCAUGGGGAGCAAACAGG
rnacentral:rRNA from 1 species